ensembl:lncRNA
GCAGGCCCCUGAUUCUCGUUGGCAUCACACAGCUCCCUGCGUCCAAAUGUGGACCGUUCAACUGCACUUAUGAACAGCCCUGCGACCUGCGCGCCCGGCCCCUGGCUCUCUGGCUGCUGAGGCAGCGAGGCUGCUGGAGCCCGCCGCUCGUCAGCCACCAGGGAGUGGAACGGUGUGUGGCACAGUCGACCUUGGUCCAGAGACGACGUAGCACCGCCCCUUCCGUCUGUGCACCUGAGGUUUCGGCCGCUGUCAGGACACCCACCCUUGUGUUCUCUUCAUGCCAAAGUUUAAUUCAAGCUCCAGGUGGUCAGUUGUCUAUCUGACAGCUUCCGUGGGCUGCUCUGGGGAAUAACCAUCGGCUGGCUGAUGUUACUUCCCAUGAGAUUAAUUUCUGGUGGGGACUUGGAAGUCUCUGGAAAACAGAAUGCUUCUUCUGACUCCUCAGAAGGUCAGACGGACUCACGUGCAUUGGUCCAGUGCACAGCCUGGAUUUGCUCCAGCGGCACUGGGGAGCGUGUGUCCCCGGAAACGAGGGUCCCCGAGCUCUCCGAAGGUCUCCACAGCUUGGUCACCCACCGUGUGCAGUCCCAGGCCUCCUCCCCCCUCCACAUUGGCACCACUGAUAGCCAGGCCUUGACCUCCAGACUCUGUGCUCCAGUGACGACAGUCUGUAGAAGAUGCCACAUGGGUUCUCAGGAGUGGGGCCUCCCACCUGGGCUCCAGUUUUGAGUAAAUAACUAAACUGCUGUUUUCUAGCAGUGGUGAUGCCUGUGGCCAUCUCCCCGGGGAGUGGAGUCUGAUGAUAGAUGCCAACACUGAACAGACUGAGGGCCUGAGCAUUUCGCAUUCAUCACCUUCCCAGCCAUCCCCAGAGUACCUUCAGAAAUGUUGCCCAGUAGGUGCAAAGUCGAGCUGCUCAUCUGCUACAACAUCAGAACGCUCAGCUCUAAAGACUCUGAGCUUGUUCAGAUGCCCAAGUGCCCUCGCUCACAGAUGCAGGCACGCAAUUCCUCCUAAAGCUACAGAGACAGCUAGUAGCCGACUGAAGCAUUAGCUAGGUAUCCAAAUUAGAGGAACUAGGAGACCAUCUUCCAGCUCAUAUUUCUCAAUUCCUAACAUUAGGCAGAGA